rnacentral:rRNA from 1 species
GCUAAUACCGGAUAACAACAGAUGAUGCCUAUCAACNGUUUAAAAGAUGGUUCUGCUAUCACUCUUGGAUGGACCUGCGGUGCAUUAGCUAGUUGGUAGGGUAACGGCCUACCAAGGCGAUGAUGCAUAGCCGAGUUGAGAGACUGAUCGGCCACAUUGGGACUGAGACACGGCCCAAACUCCUACGGGAGGCAGCAGUA